UACAGAGGGUGCAAGCGUUAAUCGGAAUGACUGGGCGUAAAGAGCGCGUAGGUGGUUGAAUAAGUCAGAUGUGAAAGACCUGGGCUUAACCUGGGGGUGUCAUUUGAUACUGUUUAACUAGAGUACAGGAGAGGAAGGUAGAAUUUCCGGUGUAGCGGUGAAAUGCGUAGAGAUCGGAAGGAAUACCAGUGGCGAAGGCGGCCUUCUGGCCUGAUACUGACACUGAGGCGCGAAAGCGUGGGGAGCAAACAGGAUUAGAUACCCUGGUAGUCCACGCUGUAAACGAUGAUAACUAGACGCUGGUAGGGGUAAAGCUCUGUAAGUGUUGAAGCUAACGCGAUAAGUUAUCCGCCUGGGGAGUACGGUCGCAAGAUUAAA
rnacentral:rRNA from 1 species